AUUGAACGCUGGCGGCAGGCCUAACACAUGCAAGUCGAGCGAGCGGCGGACGGGUGAGUAAUGUAUGGGGACUGCCCGAUAGAGGGGGAUAACUACUGGAAACGGUAGCUAAUACCGCAUACUAUCGGAUAACCCAUAUGGGAUUAGCUAGUAGGUGAGGUAAUGGCUCACCUAGGCGACGAUCCCUAGCGGGUCUGAGAGGAUGAUCAGCCAGACUGGGACUGAGAAACGGCCCAGACUCCUACGGAGGCAGCGGGGGGGAAUAUUGCACAAUGGGCGAAAGCCUGAUGCAGCCAUGCCGCGUGUAUGAAGAAGGCCUUAGGGUUGUAAAGCUCUUUCAGUCGGGAGGCGUUACCGAAAAAAGAAGCACCGGCUAACUCCGUGCCAGCAGCCGCGGUAAUUC
rnacentral:rRNA from 1 species